rnacentral:lncRNA from 1 species
AAAGUAGAAUCUGUUUUUAUUCAACACAGGACUGUAAACGGAUAAAAUUCACAAUAACCAGCAUUAAAAAAAACCUACCACCAAACCCUACAGCCAUACUUAAAUUUUGCUCUACAUACUGGUCACUCACAUUUCUACAUACAAAAUUUUGUCAAGUCUUGCUCACUACCAGGUUAAUAGAUAUUGACACCCAAUACUAACAAAGCACACAGUUUAUUCACAACUUCUAGGGGACUUCUAGGGUUGUUAAGAAAGAAAAAUAAAUCUUUAUUUUUUGUCCAACAAAUUCAUAGCUGGGAGGAACUGAAAUGCUGCACAUUAGGCCCACUAAGAGCCCUAACUCCUGCCUACAAAGGACUCAGCCCAGUACCUCUAACACUAUCAUUAUCCCAUACCCAAGUCACUGCAGUGCAAAAGCUAUUCAAAUAAAUAAAUAAAUAACAGCAGCAGCCCCAACAAGUAAAACCCAAGACACAGUUAAAUAUCUUUACAACCUGUAACUGUUAAAUACAAUUGAAAGCGUUUUAACCAAAGACUUCAGUCCAUAGGGACUAGCCUCUCAACACCUGAGGGCAGCAGAGUUUAAGUUGUUUUGGUAAACUAGUUUGGUAAACUAGUUGGUUUUGGUAAACUAGUUGUUUUGGUAAACUAGUUUAGUAAACUAGUCUACAUACCUUUUCUGGGGGAAAGGGAUUGGCAUCUUCAGCUGAAGUCCUCCAUUCCUCCCUCCUCAUGCAGCCACUGAAGUUGUGCCAAUACAACUGUUUUGGGAUUGCAGUGUUAUUCUUCCCCCCAUGAGAGGCUAACAUCAGCCCCCUGGUCUGGCUACAAGUCCCCCAUGGUCAGCCUGGCCAAGUGAGGGGCAGCGUGCCAUGCCACUGGGAUGGGAAGUCCGUUCAAAUAGAAUUACUGCAAAAUUCUGUCAUAUUCAACUACAGCCUAAAGCCCAAAUGUAGCACAGAUUUAUGAAUUCACAUGUUGAGCGUCCCCACUGGUCUCAAGAGGUUUACUGAAAAUCUAAAGUUAACCAUUCAUCCAGGUAACUGCAGAGUUGGAGCCUAUAAACAGCAUUCAUUUGCAACGACUUGGUACCUUCCUUAAGUGUUUGUGGGACUGAGGUUUUCCCUGGUUUUCAACAAAACAGUUAAAAAUGGACACAUUCUUAUACUGUUCAAGUCAAGCAUAAAGCAUGAGCUGAAUCAAACCAGUGAAAUAACUCAUCAAAGACUGAACAAUUACUAAUCAGCCCUGGAAAUUAAAAGUUGUGCCAGCAUAUGGAACAACACCAGCAGCUGAUGAGACAUUUCUCCACCAUAUUUUGCGGGACUAUUUUAGAGCGUGCUGUUUUAUUAAUCAAGUGUAAAGACUACUACAUUGUUUCACAAUAUUUAAGAGCAUAGUUCAGAACAAGACAUGUGCCUAGAGCUUUAAUAAAUACAGUUAAGAAUAAUACACAGUUUAAAUUACCUAGACUUCAUGAUUUAAGUAUAAACACCUCAUACAAAAUCCCCUCCUUUUCACUUUGUACAUCUUAAAAAAUAAAUCACAGAAACAUCUGUUUUGCAAAGGAGACAGCUGUACAAAGAAAUGAUAUGUUUUGAAGACAUUAAACCAUCUAUUCGCUGGGUAACACUAGUUACUGAAAUGCUCUCUUACAACCUGCCACCUAGGUCAUUUUUCUUUUCUGAUAUUUUGGCUCUAAAUCUGAAAUUCUGAGCCACUUGAAAUUAGCCACUUCAAAGAGAUUUCUGGUUAUUAAGGCCCUGAUCUGGCAAUGACAUUCAUGUGCACACAUCAACACUGAAAUCAGGGAGUACCUGACAGCAAUCACAGUGGCAGCAGGCACUAAAGCAGCUCAUCUGUUCAAUCCUGCAGAGCUCAAGUAUGACAGGUCACAGUUCUCUGCUACCCUAAGGGAACACCUCUCAUUUCAACCAAGCCUAGUGGAGCAGCACAACAAUUAUGUGACACUUGCACAACCAGUUUAUAAUGCCCUGAAAAUCAUGAGAGCCCCCCACUGGACAUUCUGACUCAUAAUCUGCUUUAUCUUGCUUAGGACUCUUUUGCACAAUCCUCAUUGAGGAUGAACACCCAUCCAGAGAGUCUGUGAAAACUGCUAAC